GCCCUCAUAGCUCAAUGGAUAGAGCAGAUCCGUCCUAAGGAUAAGAUGUAGGUUCGAUUCCUUCUGAGGGCACCA
rnacentral:tRNA from 1 species